UGAUGAACGCUAGCUACAGGCUUAACACAUGCAAGUCGAGGGGCAGCAUGGUCUUAGCUUGCUAAGGCCGAUGGCGACCGGCGCACGGGUGAGUAACACGUAUCCAACCUGCCGUCUACUCUUGGACAGCCUUCUGAAAGGAAGAUUAAUACAAGAUGGCAUCAUGAGUCCACAUGUUCACAUGAUUAAAGGUAUUCCGGUAGACGAUGGGGAUGCGUUCCAUUAGAUAGUAGGCGGGGUAACGGCCCACCUAGUCUUCGAUGGAUAGGGGUUCUGAGAGGAAGGUCCCCCACAUUGGAACUGAGACACGGUCCAAACUCCUACGGGAGGCAGCAGUGAGGAAUAUUGGUCAAUGGGCGAGAGCCUGAACCAGCCAAGUAGCGUGAAGGAUGACUGCCCUAUGGGUUGUAAACUUCUUUUAUAAAGGAAUAAAGUCGGGUAUGCAUACCCGUUUGCAUGUACUUUAUGAAUAAGGAUCGGCUAACUCCGUGCCAGCAGCCGCGGUAAUACGGAGGAUCCGAGCGUUAUCCGGAUUUAUUGGGUUUAAAGGGAGCGUAGAUGGAUGUUUAAGUCAGUUGUGAAAGUUUGCGGCUCAACCGUAAAAUUGCAGUUGAUACUGGAUAUCUUGAGUGCAGUUGAGGCAGGCGGAAUUCGUGGUGUAGCGGUGAAAUGCUUAGAUAUCACGAAGAACUCCGAUUGCGAAGGCAGCCUGCUAAGCUGCAACUGACAUUGAGGCUCGAAAGUGUGGGUAUCAAACAGGAUUAGAUACCCUGGUAGUCCACACGGUAAACGAUGAAUACUCGCUGUUUGCGAUAUACAGCAAGCGGCCAAGCGAAAGUGUUAAGUAUUCCACCUGGGGAGUACGCCGGCAACGGUGAAACUCAAAGGAAUUGACGGGGGCCCGCACAAGCGGAGGAACAUGUGGUUUAAUUCGAUGAUACGCGAGGAACCUUACCCGGGCUUAAAUUGCAGAUGAAUUACGGUGAAAGCCGUAAGCCGCAAGGCAUCUGUGAAGGUGCUGCAUGGUUGUCGUCAGCUCGUGCCGUGAGGUGUCGGCUUAAGUGCCAUAACGAGCGCAACCCUUGUUGUCAGUUACUAACAGGUUCUGCUGAGGACUCUGGCAAGACUGCCAUCGUAAGAUGUGAGGAAGGUGGGGAUGACGUCAAAUCAGCACGGCCCUUACGUCCGGGGCUACACACGUGUUACAAUGGGGGGUACAGAGGGCCGCUACCACGCGAGUGGAUGCCAAUCCCAAAAACCUCUCUCAGUUCGGACUGGAGUCUGCAACCCGACUCCACGAAGCUGGAUUCGCUAGUAAUCGCGCAUCAGCCACGGCGCGGUGAAUACGUUCCCGGGCCUUGUACACACCGCCCGUCAAGCCAUGGGAGCCGGGGGUACCUGAAGUGCGUAACCGCGAGGAGCGCCCUAGGGUA
rnacentral:rRNA from 1 species